rnacentral:rRNA from 1 species
GCGGAGGAAAAGAAAAUAACAAUGAUUCCCCCAGUAACGGCGAGUGAACAGGGAAAAGCUCAAAGUUGGAACCUCCUGGGCCUAGCCUAGGCGGAUUGUAAACUAAAGUCUUCGAGUAGUUCGGCUAGCCUGGUAAUCAAGUCCUCUGGAAAGGGGCGACAUAGAGGGUGAAACCCCCGUUUAUGGCCAGAUGCAUAGUCCUACGUUCGCUUGGAGACGAAGAGUCAGGUUGUUUGGGAAUGCAGCCUAAAGUGGGAGGUAAAUCUCUCCUAAAGCUAAAUAUUGACGAAAGACCGAUAGCGAACAAGUACCGUGAGGGAAAGAUGAAAAGCACUUUGAAAAGAGGGUCAAAAAGUACGUGAAAUUGCUAAAAGGGAACCGUAUGAAAUCAGUCCAAUUUCUUGGUAAUCAUCCUGGGCUUUGGCCUGGGUGCACUUGCCAUGAGAUUAGCCAGCAGCAGUUUGACUUGAAGGAAAAAACUCUGGGGAAUGUGGCCUCGGCUUCGGUUGAGGUGUUAUAGCCCUUGGGAAAAUACUUUGGGUUAGACUGAGGAACGCAGCGGGCCCGCAAGGGCAAAGAGCUGGGGGUGCUUUGGCUUUUUUAGGCGGAAAUCUCUACUUCGGGUAGUGUCUGUCUAGAGAGGCUAAACUCGCCUUCAUUCUUCUUUCUCUCGCUUAGGUUGUUGGCCUAAUGAUUUAUAUGAC